rnacentral:rRNA from 1 species
GACGAACGCUGGCGGCGUGCUUAACACAUGCAAGUCGAACGAAAAGAGGGAAAGAGCUUGCUCUUUCCGGAAUUGAGUGGCAAACGGGUGAGUAACACGUAAACAACCUGCCUUCAGGAUGGGGACAACAGACGGAAACGACUGCUAAUACCGAAUAAGUUCCAAGGGCCGCAUGGCCCAUGGAAGAAAAGGUGGCCUCUACCUGUAAGCUAUCGCCUGAAGAGGGGUUUGCGUCGGAUUAGCUGGUUGGAGGGGUAACGGCCCACCAAGGCGACGAUCAGUAGCCGGUCUGAGAGGAUGAACGGCCACACUGGAAUUGAGACACGGUCCAGACUCCUACGGGAGGCAGCAGUGGGGAAUCUUCCGCAAUGGGCGAAAGCCUGACGGAGCAACGCCGCGUGAGUGAUGACGGCCUUCGGGUUGUAAAACUCUGUGAUCCGGGACGAAAAGGCAGAGUGCGAAGAACAAACUGCAUUGACGGUACCGGAAAAGCAAGCCACGGCUAACUACGUG